rnacentral:lncRNA from 1 species
CGUGCAAAGGAGAUACUAUGACAUAAAGAAAUUUUAUCGACGGAGCAGGUUGGGAAUCUGGCGUGAGUUUCUUCGUCGUCGAGGGAGUAUAACUAUGGAGGCGAUAACGUGUAAGCCAAGAGAUGCUUGCCGUUUUGGGUGCUUUGCCGCGUUACUCACGGCCUUUCGGUUGCUAUCGCCUGGCAGGGCACGGCGGACUUGCACCAGCGCCGAAACUGGGGGGAGUGGCAUGACGAGUCCAUUCAUCGGAGCGUUAUGAUACUAAAGAU